rnacentral:tRNA from 1 species
AUAGGUGUAAUUCAGUUGGUAGAAUGCUAGCUUUGGGAGCUAGUUGUCCUAGGUUCGAACCCUAGUACCUAUA